rnacentral:antisense_RNA from 1 species
GUUUGUGUGUGUGUGUGUGUGUUCCAGCCUUACAAGAGAAUGGCAGGAGGUCCCUGGGCAGGCGCAGGCCUCCAGUGGGAGGCUCAGGAUGGAAGCGCGCGCCCCUGACCUUGAAUGGCCCAAGGCCCAGAAUUCCUACCACGCCCCCGGCGUUCGCGAAGGAGCAGCCAACCUAACCCUACCUGCUGUGGUCAGGUGGAGGUGUGUGGUGGAAGGGGAAAGCCGGCCGUCUGGCAAAGCCCUACGGAGAAAGACACGAGGCUCCUGCGCAGGGAAAGCCGAGGUUGUCACCGCAGGCCUGGCACGACCAGGGCUGUGAUGCCCCGCCCGGCCCGACCCCCGCGCUCAGAGGUACCUGGAGACGAUUUCAACUGAAGUAAUGAAGGCAGUGUCGUGCUGUCGAGAGAAAGGUGGAUCCCAACAACAGGAAACUACCUAAAUCACCGACCAGUUCUGGUGCUGCCCGCGCAGGGCUGCAUCGCCCGCCGCCGCCGCCGCCUCCGCCGCCGCCGCCGCAGCCAAGGAGAGAACCCUGCGAUCGCGCCUGGCCCAGCCCAGCCCCUAGGCAACCUGCGCCCGCCGCUGCAAUGGAGUGCCCCAGGCGGCCGCAAAUGCGUCAAGGAAGGGGAAGCCACAGGCCCCAGUAAGCCAAAGUCAAGCCCGUUUGCCAACCUGCGUGUCCAUGCCUGUAAGCCCUUCUCUCGGCCAAGGAAGAAAGGAAGAAAGAAAAAAGAAACCCAGGGGCCUGUAUCCCCUGAUUAAACACAGCACAGCACUCCAGGCAGACAUGCCCGGUGUCGGCUCCUUUGCACCAUUGACCUCAGGCCAGACACCUCAGCGCCAACAAUGGGACCUCGGCCUUCCGGCUAGGUUUGCCCCAGGCUGGGCAGGAAACCAGCUCAGCCGAAGACAGGGGCCAUUUCGAGCAGUGGGACCCCAAGACAGCAAACCCAGCCCAGUCACGACUUGACACUUAGGACAAUAUCUAUCUCUAUAGAAUUUUAGCACGAUAUGGCUUUUUCUCCCAGAAAACAACAAAUAAACCAGCACCAAGCAGACACAAAGAAACAAAAAGUCAGAACAAACCAGCCCUGCACAGAUGUAAC